AUACGUAGGGGGCAAGCGUUAUCCGGAAUUAUUGGGCGUAAAGCGUGCGUAGGUGGUUACCUAAGCGCAAGGUUUAAUCUUGAGGCUCAACCUCAUUCUGCCUUGCGAACUGGGCUACUUGAGUGCUGGAGGGGAAAGCGGAAUUCCUAGUGUAGCGGUGAACUGCGUAGAUAUUAGGAAGAACACCGGUGGCGAAGGCGGCUUUCUGGACAGUAACUGACACUGAGGCACGAAAGCGUGGGGAGCAAACAGGAUUAGAUACCCUGGUAGUCCACGCCGUAAACGAUGAGCACUAGUUGUUGGGUCCGAAUGGAUUCAGUGACGCAGUUAACGCAAUAAGUGCUCCGCCUGGGGAGUACGGUGGCAACACUAAAACUCAAAUGAAUUGACGGGG
rnacentral:rRNA from 1 species